rnacentral:rRNA from 1 species
UAGGGAAUCUUCCGCAAUGGGCGAAAGCUUGACGGAGCAACGCCGCGUGAGUGAUGAAGGUCUUCGGAUCGUAAAACUCUGUUAUUAGGGAAGAACAAAUGUGUAAGUAACUAUGCACGUCUUGACGGUACCUAAUCAGAAAGCCACGGCUAACUACGUGCCAGCAGCCGCGGUAAUACGUAGGUGGCAAGCGUUAUCCGGCAUUAUUGGGCGUAAAGCGCGCGUAGGCGGUUUUUUAAGUCUGAUGUGAAAGCCCACGGCUCAACCGUGGAGGGUCAUUGGAAACUGGAAAACUUGAGUGCAGAAGAGGAAAGUGGAAUUCCAUGUGUAGCGGUGAAAUGCGCAGAGAUAUGGAGGAACACCAGUGGCGAAGGCGACUUUCUGGUCUGUAACUGACGCUGAUGUGCGAAAGCGGGGGGAUCAAACAGG